AAGCACAUUUUUGUCUGUGGUGCUGGUUUGGGGCUGGGAAAGAGGAACAGGUAGGGCCAGGGGAGGGAGGCGGGCUUCACUGCAGGGGCCUUCCGAGGAGCUGGUAGGGGGCUGCUGAGUGUAGCUCGUGGGUUUCCACCAAGUGAAGCCACAUAACGAGCUGGGGGCAUCUCCAGCACCUCCCUGACACAGUGCGUGGUAUCGUGACCCCGUCAUCAGCUUUGCCCGCCUUUGAACUGAUCGCUGGACUCUUACGUUCACACGCUUAUGAGGCAAGUCCUUCUGUGGUCUUCCUGCGUUGUAAACGAUCGUCAGGUUUUGGUGUCAAGACUGCGCUGGCCUCCUGACUUGGACGCACUUCCUCUUCUCUUAUUUCUGGAAGACAUUGCACAAGGAGCUGCUACCAUCCAUACUUACAUAAUUAGAUGAAUUUGCUAAUAGAGCUGUCUGGGCCUGAAAAAUUUUUUUUUGAGUUUUUUUUUUUCCAUUGUAGAUUAAACUUAUUUGCUAGAUACUAAAGCUUUCAAAUCUUCUGAUUUUUCCUAUGUCAGCUUUGGUAGGUUGUGCUUUUCUGGGGGGGUGGAUAGAGGGAUCAGUUUCAUCCAAUUUGUCAAAUUGACUGGCAUAAGUUCCUUUUAUUGCCUAUUUUAUUUCCUUAGGAUCUGCAGAGAUAUCCAUUUUGGUAACUUGUGCCUUUUACUUGUAUAUUUUUAUCAAUCUUGUUAAGGGUUAAUCAUUUUAAUAGGACUUUUCAAAAAGCUAAGGUUUGGCUUGGUUGAUUUUCCUGUUGGAUGACUGAUUUCUCUUUACUUCUUUCUCGUUGCCUUCUCUGAGUCUAAUUUGCUGUACCUUUUCUAAUUUUUGAGACACGGAGCUAGAUUAUUGACUUUUGGCUUUUCACCUUUGGUAAUAUAAGCACUUAAGGAUAUUUAUUUCUUUCUAGUUACUAUUUUAGCUGCAAAUAAGUUGCAUUUGCUAAAAACAAGACAACAGGCCCAAAUGGAUUGUCUUGUGCUAAGGGCCAUGUCACUAAACCUAGAGGGAGUUACAGUUUUGGCUCCCCUGAAAUUGGAAUUUUAAGCCAGUCACCUGGCAACUGCCUGGUCAGGACUGGUGAGGUACUUGGCCUGGCAGACCCCUGCCCACCCCUGAAGGAAGGGAGCUUGCGAUAACCAAGCCCCUGUUUUGCCUGGGAUAAUUUCCCCGUGCCCGCUCCCUUCUGGCUGUAGAAGUCCUUCAUGUUGGACAGCUCCUCGGGGCCUCUUUCCAUCUGCUGGCUGGGUGCAGCCUGGUUGGAAUAAAUGAAUAAAACCAGUAAGACUUACAAUUGA